AUGCUCCUUUGGCCACAUCUCAAAUUUUUUCUAUUGUUUUCGUUGCAGGAUCAUUUAAUGUCUUUCAGAAAUAUGUUCUGGAACUAUCUUCUUCUAUACGAAAAAGUAGACUUGAGCAAACUCCAACCCAUGAUUCUCAAGAGAAAUGAGAAACGUUCCCAACUUUACCCUGUUCGUGCCAUGGUUCCUGUUGCCAAUGAGGUCUUACUUGCUAGGAAUGUUCUCACCCAUGGUGUUCCCACUCUUUUCAAUUCAUUUAUUCUCAUGGCUUGCAAGUGA
rnacentral:lncRNA from 1 species